rnacentral:lncRNA from 1 species
AAUUAUUUAGUUAAUGUAAAUGAGUAACUGUAGCUGUCUUCAGACACACCAGAAGAGGGCAUCUGUCCCAUUACAGAUGGUUGUGAGCCACCAUGUGGUUGCUGGGAAUUGAACUCAGGAGUUCUGGAAGAGCAGUCAGUGCCUCUAACUGCUGAGCCAUCUCUCCAGCCCGCUUCCAACUUUUCAAAACAAACAAUUUGAUUAAAAAAGAAAGGCUUCUGAAAACACUUUCUAUACGUUUUAGUUAAAACAAUGACUUAUUUCACUAGAGUGCUUUUCAUGAAGAACCUGGCAAGUUUUGUCAAUAGACAAGCAAAGAUCAUCAUGGAGCUGCUUGGAGAAAGAAGCUGAACUAGUCUGUAAAAUGCUUCAACUUCCCAAACUGGCUGAAUAUUAUCUUAAGAACUGUUACCCAAUUCACACCUUCCCACACAUACCCAUCUUUCCAUACAUUUUGAGCUGAAAACUGAGAAAGCUCAUUUGUACUUGGGGGAAAAACUGCUUUAAAAAAACAUGAUAAAGUGGAAUAAAUUUAAACAGCAAAACAUUAAUUAAAAAAAAAAAACGCACGACAGACACUGUAUCACUAAGAAAGCCAGUAACUUUACUGAAUUGUCUGCAAAAUACAAAUUAUACCUUAUUUCCAGCAGGAGAAACUUUUGAAAAUUUCCCACUUGAAUUCACUACAGACAGCUGAAUUUAAGUCCCUUGAGAUACACACGUGUGGUUAGCUUAGGUAUACCAUCUUGUCAUCUAGUGGCGACAAAGUCCAGCUUAUGCCGCUGUGAGCCUCUAUUUGAAUACUUGUUGCAAAUGCUUGUAUGCCCUCAUUUACAAGCUAUUUUAAUUGUCAUUGAAUGGAAACAAGUCCCCAGAAAAGGAAAAGGAAGAAAAACGAUACGGCAAACCAUCUGAAGCAAUCCAAGCUUCAUGCCUGCAGUGACCCUUGCCUGCUUACUUCAAGAGUACACUGCUGCAUUCAAACCACAACUAGAAUCCAACACUUAGCGAACCUCUCUGAAUUAAACUGAGGUAUCAAUCAAUUUGAGGUAUGGACAGGGAAGGCAAAAUGCAAUACCCGAUUAUGAAUAACCAAAUGGACAAAUUUAAUGCAGUAGAUAUGCGGCUUGGAUUGCUCCACAUCUUUGGUUAAAACAUAGUAAGAAAAGCCUUUAAUUACAUCUGUAGUCAGAAGCAUUCUAACAGACACCAGCAUUCAAGCAAUCUUCAAAAUAUCUCUAGUGGCAGGAAAUUAAUGCCAUACAACUGACGACACCGUAGCAGAUGGCAGAGGCGGGAACAGAUGAAGUACGCCAUGUUUAGGCAACAGCCUUUAUUGAAGGUUCAAGUGGCUUCUUCUUUAAAGUAAAUUUUUUAAAGAAAGAAAUACAAAGCAUUUACUCUUCGAAGGGACAAAAAAAGGGGGGGAUCAAGGGAGCAAAAUGCUAUCUCAGAAAGGGUGAGUGUGUCGAUAAACAAAUACAUAGAAGUAAGAGAGGGCAGACACGCUUUUUAAAAGAGUAUUGGAAUUUGCUCUGAAAUUCUCAUGUUAGUUAACCUUUCAAUGAUCUAAAGAUGACAGGCAUUUUCAUAUUCAUCACUACAAAACAUUAAAUUCCACCUUUGGGAAAAAAAUAAGCAAUUUUACUAAAAAACACAAGUUUAAAAAAGGUUGAAAUCAACAGCCUCCACAUAUCAAUGCGCACAGUCCACAGGCUGCAUGGCUUGCGCCUGCUGCUCACCAUGACCAGAAUUUCUCAGCUCACCGUUACUAAAACUCUUUUAAAAUAGGAUUCGGUAUAACAAUACUUGCAGUCAUGUAAAAUGCCAUUUACGGUCCUCCUACUUGCAAUGAUGACUGUUGUCUAAUAUGCUACUCUAGGCCAGGUAAUGUAAAAUAACAAUCCCCCAGAGCUCUGCCCUAGACUUCUCAAUACAAAGAACUUGGUGUGAUCAAAACCCUUACUAGAUUUGUAAAUACAAUAAAUGGUGAGUUACAGAAAAGGCAAGGGCAAAGACAAGACAGUGCCUGGUGAUAGAACGUGACUGGUCACAAUAAAAAUUGUGCUUCUCAUUAAAUCAUCUCUACAAGUCUCAGAUUGUCCCUUCGCUAUCUGCUACGACAGUAGUGGGAACCAGGUGACUGGCAUCCAUUUUUUCAAGUGAGUCUGUUUUUCUUGAGUUUGUAAAAACAAACAAACAAACAAACAAACCUAUUGUCAGAAUUGCUAUAAAGAGAGGAGGCCUCUGCUGGCACAUGAGUUCACUCUAGCUUCAGCAUUAGACACUUACACUCGCUUUGUUGCGGAGGCAAAUGACAGCAAAAAAUUUAAUAUGGCUAUUUCUUCAUAUUUUAUAUGAUCCUUUCCUACCCACUGGUAAGAUUCUAUUGAUCUUGAUGAACAAAUGCACUUUGAAAGGACAAGGAACAUUUGUGAUAUGCUUGCAUAUUUAACACACAUUUAAUUAUAAACAUGAAUUCUCAGGAUGGAAUCAAGUCUGGCGUGAAAUAAUGGCUGACUUUCUUGUUCACUUUAUGUGCAUGUUUGAAUGUACACAUGACCAUGCAAACAGAUGUGCAGGUAAGCAUGUUUGUAAGGAUGGUUUCCUGUUUUGCUUCUGCCUAAAUACUCGUCUUCAUGUUCCAUUGAUACCUUUAGUAGUAGAAUAUAUGUGAAAUGGUUGAUGUCUUUAUUUUGUUUUUAACAUAUAAAACAUUACUACAAGGCAGGCUAGCAUCCUAUAUGGAUACCACCAAAGGUGCAUUGUGGUCUAAUUCUGGAUUGCAGAUCAAGUUAAGAAAAAUAUAGCCUCGUUAAUAAGGUCUUUUGGCUUCUGCCACCCAGCGGCAGCCUUUUACAGUGAGAAACAUGUAUGUAGCAACUAUGCAGGUAAAGGGGGAAAAAACUGGAUAAGCACGUCCUACACGUGACCUGGCAGGGCUAAUGUUACUGCAUUCUUUGUUCUGUAUGUCAGGAUUAAUGACAGGAUGAAUCGACAGAUCUUCACAUUCCAAGAGAAGGGAAUAAUUCCUAGCCUGAAAUACCACUUCAACACUAUAUAUUGACUCUUUAUGGCACUCACUUUUAAAGGGGUCUGAAAAUUAAUCCCUUACACAAGAAUAUUAGACAAGAGUUAAAUUAUCUUGAAAAUUAAAAAAAAGGGGGGGGGACAUAGAGAAAGGUUUGUUUUUUUUUUUUUUUAAAGUGGGAUUUCUUGAAAUGGCUGUUAAAUUUCUUUAUUGAAGAAAAAAAUAGGUGACAUACAUGCUUUAGGCAGAAGUGACAUUUGGGGGUCCUGACACACCAGGCUGUUCAACAGUCCUAUACUGCUGACAACAUUGUUAUGGGUCAGUUAAAAUCAUGAAGGUGGAUACCAAGUAACUACCCUUUAACUGUUUCCUUCCUCUCCAGCACCCAGGCUUUCACCUUGUUCUCCUCCAGAACUCUGUAACUUAUCCAUCAAGUAAAGCAGGUCGGUCGCCCCCAGGACCCAGCUUGCAGGACUUAGGCUCCAACACAGCUUCUUACUCUGGGCAUAUUUCUAAAAAACAUCCAACUCAAGGCUGAAAAUAAACUAUGUAAAUUUAGAAUAUGGGCAAGUUAGGAUACAAACUUACAGAAUUCCAAGAUGUAUGGUGAAAUGAAGAGAGAUCUGAAAGGGGCCCUGCUUUUGAUAAAAUGAAAAGAAACCAACAAUUCAAAACCAAACC